GGGCGAGCGGGUACGGCUUCUCCCCGGCGCCGGUGACACCCUGCGGCGGGGCGCCCCGGAGAGGCCGUCUCGGAGGGAGCCCCACGCCUCGCCGCGGCUGCCCGCGCGCAAUCUCGGCUCAUUUUCUCUAAGCAAUACAAGUUCACGGACGAGCUACCUAGCCAGCCCUCCUCUCCCGUCAUGGACCUCCCAGGCUGCUGCGCGCCGCCCGCCCUCUGAGGAGACUCCUUCGCCCCGCGCGGAGGAGGAGGAGGAGGAGGAGGAGGAGGAGGCGGAGGAGGGAGGAGGAGAAGGGGAGGAAGGCGCGGCCCCAGCCGCCGCUUCCCAGCCGCCGUCCCGCAGAGCGCUGGCCGCCGGGCGCCGCGGCGGCAGCAGGCGCGCAGCCCCCUCGGCUCCCCGCGGCCGCCCG